rnacentral:snoRNA from 1 species
AAGUAAGGAUAUAGAAGAAUUGAAUAAUACGGUCAACACCUCUCUGCUAGGGCAAUGUCUAUUCUCCUCUGCAUUGAAAGGACUACCUUUCAAAUGUAUUCAGAAAGUCAGCACAUUU